rnacentral:rRNA from 1 species
UACGGAGGAUCCAAGCGUUAUCCGGAUUUAUUGGGUUUAAAGGGUGUGUAGGCGGCCUAUUAAGUCAGGGGUGAAAGACGGUAGCUUAACUAUCGCAGUGCCUUUGAUACUGAUGGGCUUGAAUAUACUUGAGGUAGGCGGAAUGUGACAAGUAGCGGUGAAAUGCAUAGAUAUGUCACAGAACACCAAUUGCGAAGGCAGCUUACUAAAGUAUGAUUGACGCUGAGGCACGAAAGCGUGGGGAUCAAACAGG